AUGUCUCGGUUGUCAGUGAAGCGUGUGCUCAAGGCUGUGCAAAAGUUUGACGAGUAUAAGAGAUGGCUUGUAUCAGAGAUUGGGUUGGGUGGAAUACUGAAGCUUCCGAUGCUCGUCAAAUUGGACCUGGUUAUGAGGAAGGUGAAGGUCAGGCCUCGCGUAAUCGCUAUUGAUGACAACAGGAAUAUUUUCUUUACUGCAGAGGAUUUCCAUAAGAUCUUCGGGGUCCCGUGCGCCAACCGAGAUGUUCAUGGCAGGGAUGCGAACAUUGCUCCUUCAUCGAUCCAAUUCAUAAAGCAGGCAAUUGGGAUGGACAAAUCAGGAUCGAAGAACCUAAAGGAGGCUGAGAGAUUCAUCAGCAGAGACAUUUCUGAGGAAUCUAGUAAGAUUGAGAAGGAUUGUUUUCAGUUUGCGCUUGUGAUUUUCAUCAUGGGUUACAUGCUAGAGCUGUGA
rnacentral:rRNA from 1 species